rnacentral:rRNA from 1 species
UACGUAGGGGGCGAGCGUUGUCCGGAAUUAUUGGGCGUAAAGAGCGCGUAGGCGGUCCGAUAAGUCGGCUGUGAAAGUCAGGGGCUCAACCCUUGAAAGCCGGCCGAUACUGUCGGACUAGAGUCCGGAAGAGGCAAGUGGAAUUCCUGGUGUAGCGGUGGAAUGCGCAGAUAUCAGGAGGAACACCGGUGGCGAAGGCGGCAUACUGGACCACCACUGACGCUGAUGCGCGAAAGCCAGGGGAGCAAACGGG